UACGGAGGGUGCAAGCGUUAUCCGGAUUCACUGGGUUUAAAGGGUGCGUAGGUGGCCUUAUAAGUCAGUGGUGAAAUCUCUGGGCUUAACCCAGAAAUUGCCAUUGAUACUGUAGGGCUUGAGUACAGUUGCUGUGGGCGGAAUAUGACAUGUAGUGGUGAAAUACAUAGAGAUGUCAUAGAACACCGAUUGCGAAGGCAGCUCACAAAACUGUAACUGACACUGAGGCUCGAAAGUGCGGGGAUCAAACAGG
rnacentral:rRNA from 1 species